rnacentral:rRNA from 1 species
UACGGGGGGGGCAAGCGUUGUUCGGAAUUACUGGGCGUAAAGGGUGCGUAGGCGGGUCUUUAAGUCAGGGGUGAAAUCCUGGAGCUCAACUCCAGAACUGCCUUUGAUACUGAAGAUCUUGAGUUCGGGAGAGGUGAGUGGAACUGCGAGUGUAGAGGUGAAAUUCGUAGAUAUUCGCAAGAACACCAGUGGUGAAGGCGGCUUACUGGUCCGGUUCUGACGCUGAGGCGCGAAAGCGUGGGGAGCAAACAGG